rnacentral:pre_miRNA from 1 species
GUGUGUGUGUGUGUGGAUAGUGUUCAGCACCAAAGACAAGUGUGUUUGCUUGUGUGUGUGUGUAGAUAGUGUUUAGCACCAGGGACAGGUAUGUUUGCCU